GACGAACGCUGGCGGCGUGCUUAACACAUGCAAGUCGAACGGAAAGGCCCUGCUUUUGUGGGGUUCUCGAGUGGCGAACGGGUGUGUCACACGUGAGUAACCUGCCCUUGACUUUGGGAUCACUUCAGGAAACUGGGGCUUAUACCGGAUAGGAGCUCCUGCUGCAUGGUGGGGUGUGGAAAGUUUCGGCGGUUGGGUAUGGACUCGCGGCUUCUCAGCUUGUUGGUGGGGUUGUGCCUUACCAAGGCUUUGACGGGUAGCCGGCCUGAGAGGGUGACCGGCCACAUUGGGAUUGAGAUAGGGCCAAGACUCCAACGGGAGGAAGCAGUGGGGAAUUUUGAACAAGGGGGGGAAGCCUGAUGCAGAAACGCCGCGGGCGGGAUGACGGCCUUCGGGUGGAAAACCGUUUUCGCCUGUGACGAAGCGUGAGUGACGGUAAUGGGUAAAGAAGCACCGGCUAACUACGUG
rnacentral:rRNA from 1 species